GGGUUGUGAGGUUAAGCGACUAAGCGUACACGGUGGAUGCCCUGGCAGUCAGAGGCGAUGAAGGACGUGCUAAUCUGCGAUAAGCGUCGGUAAGGUGAUAUGAACCGUUAUAACCGGCGAUUUCCGAAUGGGGAAACCCAGUGUGUUUCGACACACUAUCAUUAACUGAAUCCAUAGGUUAAUGAGGCGAACCGGGGGAACUGAAACAUCUAAGUACCCCGAGGAAAAGAAAUCAACCGAGAUUCCCCCAGUAGCGGCGAGCGAACGGGGAGCAGCCCAGAGCCUGAAUCAGUGUGUGUGUUAGUGGAAGCGUCUGGAAAGGCGCGCGAUACAGGGUGACAGCCCCGUACACAAAAAUGCACAUAUUGUGAGCUCGAUGAGUAGGGCGGGACACGUGGUAUCCUGUCUGAAUAUGGGGGGACCAUCCUCCAAGGCUAAAUACUCCUGACUGACCGAUAGUGAACCAGUACCGUGAGGGAAAGGCGAAAAGAACCCCGGCGAGGGGAGUGAAAAGAACCUGAAACCGUGUACGUACAAGCAGUGGGAGCACGCUUAGGCGUGUGACUGCGUACCUUUGUAUAAUGGGUCAGCGACUUAUAUUCUGUAGCAAGGUUAACCGAAUAGGGGAGCCGAAGGGAAACCGAGUCUUAACUGGGCGUUAAGUUGCAGGGUAUAGACCCGAAACCCGGUGAUCUAGCCAUGGGCAGGUUGAAGGUUGGGUAACACUAACUGGAGGACCGAACCGACUAAUGUUGAAAAAUUAGCGGAUGACUUGUGGCUGGGGGUGAAAGGCCAAUCAAACCGGGAGAUAGCUGGUUCUCCCCGAAAGCUAUUUAGGUAGCGCCUCGUGAAUUCAUCUCCGGGGGUAGAGCACUGUUUCGGCAAGGGGGUCAUCCCGACUUACCAACCCGAUGCAAACUGCGAAUACCGGAGAAUGUUAUCACGGGAGACACACGGCGGGUGCUAACGUCCGUCGUGAAGAGGGAAACAACCCAGACCGCCAGCUAAGGUCCCAAAGUCAUGGUUAAGUGGGAAACGAUGUGGGAAGGCCCAGACAGCCAGGAUGUUGGCUUAGAAGCAGCCAUCAUUUAAAGAAAGCGUAAUAGCUCACUGGUCGAGUCGGCCUGCGCGGAAGAUGUAACGGGGCUAAACCAUGCACCGAAGCUGCGGCAGCGACGCUGAUGCGUUGUUGGGUAGGGGAGCGUUCUGUAAGCCUGUGAAGGUGCGCUGUGAGGCAUGCUGGAGGUAUCAGAAGUGCGAAUGCUGACAUAAGUAACGAUAAAGCGGGUGAAAAGCCCGCUCGCCGGAAGACCAAGGGUUCCUGUCCAACGUUAAUCGGGGCAGGGUGAGUCGACCCCUAAGGCGAGGCCGAAAGGCGUAGUCGAUGGGAAACAGGUUAAUAUUCCUGUACUUGGUGUUACUGCGAAGGGGGGACGGAGAAGGCUAUGUUGGCCGGGCGACGGUUGUCCCGGUUUAAGCGUGUAGGCUGGUUUUCCAGGCAAAUCCGGAAAAUCAAGGCUGAGGCGUGAUGACGAGGUACUACGGUGCUGAAGCAACAAAUGCCCUGCUUCCAGGAAAAGCCUCUAAGCAUCAGGUAACAUCAAAUCGUACCCCAAACCGACACAGGUGGUCAGGUAGAGAAUACCAAGGCGCUUGAGAGAACUCGGGUGAAGGAACUAGGCAAAAUGGUGCCGUAACUUCGGGAGAAGGCACGCUGAUAUGUAGGUGAAGUCCCUCGCGGAUGGAGCUGAAAUCAGUCGAAGAUACCAGCUGGCUGCAACUGUUUAUUAAAAACACAGCACUGUGCAAACACGAAAGUGGACGUAUACGGUGUGACGCCUGCCCGGUGCCGGAAGGUUAAUUGAUGGGGUCAGCGCAAGCGAAGCUCUUGAUCGAAGCCCCGGUAAACGGCGGCCGUAACUAUAACGGUCCUAAGGUAGCGAAAUUCCUUGUCGGGUAAGUUCCGACCUGCACGAAUGGCGUAAUGAUGGCCAGGCUGUCUCCACCCGAGACUCAGUGAAAUUGAACUCGCUGUGAAGAUGCAGUGUACCCGCGGCAAGACGGAAAGACCCCGUGAACCUUUACUAUAGCUUGACACUGAACAUUGAGCCUUGAUGUGUAGGAUAGGUGGGAGGCUUUGAAGUGUGGACGCCAGUCUGCAUGGAGCCGACCUUGAAAUACCACCCUUUAAUGUUUGAUGUUCUAACGUUGACCCGUAAUCCGGGUUGCGGACAGUGUCUGGUGGGUAGUUUGACUGGGGCGGUCUCCUCCUAAAGAGUAACGGAGGAGCACGAAGGUUGGCUAAUCCUGGUCGGACAUCAGGAGGUUAGUGCAAUGGCAUAAGCCAGCUUGACUGCGAGCGUGACGGCGCGAGCAGGUGCGAAAGCAGGUCAUAGUGAUCCGGUGGUUCUGAAUGGAAGGGCCAUCGCUCAACGGAUAAAAGGUACUCCGGGGAUAACAGGCUGAUACCGCCCAAGAGUUCAUAUCGACGGCGGUGUUUGGCACCUCGAUGUCGGCUCAUCACAUCCUGGGCUGAAGUAGGUCCCAAGGGUAUGGCUGUUCGCCAUUUAAAGUGGUACGCGAGCUGGGUUUAGAACGUCGUGAGACAGUUCGGUCCCUAUCUGCCGUGGGCGCUGGAGAACUGAGGGGGGCUGCUCCUAGUACGAGAGGACCGGAGUGGACGCAUCACUGGUGUUCGGGUUGUCAUGCCAAUGGCACUGCCCGGUAGCUAAAUGCGGAAGAGAUAAGUGCUGAAAGCAUCUAAGCACGAAACUUGCCCCGAGAUGAGUUCUCCCUGACUCCUUGAGAGUCCUGAAGGAACGUUGAAGACGACGACGUUGAUAGGCCGGGUGUGUAAGCGCAGCGAUGCGUUGAGCUAACCGGUACUAAUGAACCGUGAGGCUUAACCUUACAACGCCGAAGGUGUUU
rnacentral:rRNA from 1 species